rnacentral:rRNA from 1 species
UGCGAUGAAGUUGAGACAACGACUCAUCUAUUUUUUACCUGUCCCGUGGCUCGUGUGGUAUGGAGAUCAAUAGGGGUCGUUUUGGGGACUAACUGGUGCACUAAUGAUUACUGGCAAUACUAUGUUUGGUGUCACAAAUUUCUCCGUGAUGAACCCUAGUUGUAUACGAUCGGUCUGGCUACUGCCACCUGGGCCAUUUGGCUAGCUCGUAACAGUGACACUUUUGAGAAAAAAAUUGAUUAA